AUAAAUCUGUUUCCGUAGACGAUCCUCCUCCCAAACUUUAUUUGAUAACAGUUUCUCGUCAUCUCCUCUCUAUUUUAAAGGCAAACUAGGAACUCUUUUUCUUAUGAUCUCUGAUAUUUGUUACGAUAAUAAUGAUUAGUGGAUUUGUGAAGCUGCCCGAAGGCAAAGGAUCAGAGUUCAGCUAUAAAGUUGUCUCUGGCAAAUAAGAAUCAGGCGGUUGCUGCUGUGGCGGAAGAUUCAACGGAGGAUUCCAACAUCAUCUGAAGGUUGUUAAGAAGUGGCAAGAGUGUAUUACUUGACUCAGAGAUUACGAUUGAUCAAAUCGGCGUCAACCUCCGCAGCUGCAUCAGACGCGAGUUCAACCACCCAAGGAUGAAACUCCAUCGCUCCAAUUGAGUCCAGAAGAGACUGGAGAAGAGUAAGGACCCAGCUUUCCCACGGUGAAGCUGAAGGAAACGGUGUAAGGGGAAGAGGCGGUGAAAGGGUUGGGACUUCAGAGAAUAAAAACGGAAGAUGAAGCUGAACAAGCGGCUUUGAGUAUAUUCCUUGGAGAUUCUGCAGAUGGAGAGAAAUUUGCAAAAGACCCAAGAUUUUAAAUGAGUUAGCAGAAGGAUAUGAGGGUAUCUGAAAAAGGCUUUCAGCUUUGCCUUCUACUGCUCAGUGCUCAUGAUGCCUCCGUACUAAUCUCAUGAUUGAGUGUGAGCCAGCAUAUUUGAUGCCUGAAUUUGGAGCGAACACUUUAACUAAUAAACAGUGAUGAGUAUCUAGAUCUUAUAUUCUUAUCACAACUAUUGUCACCAAGAGAAUUGCUAGAGUUACAAAUUGUCGUGUGCAUGCUCGAGGAGUGGCCGUUAAGUCAAGUGAGUGGUGUUUGUUAUUGAUUGCUCUAAACCAGCUGAUGAUACGAACAUGGAUUUCUCCACGCUUGAGAAGUUUCUUCAGGAACAAAUCAAAGUCGGCGGAAAGCCGGAACUCUUAGUGACACCGUUUCCAUUAUGCGAGACAAAGGCAAGAUCACCGUUAUCGUCAUCACCGCUCCCAACCUCUCCAAAUGGUACAUCACGAUUUUCAUUUUGAGGAACUUCCAAGUAUCUGACCAGAUAUAUUUGAGAAAGUACAAUCUCAGUGAUUGGCUUUGCGUGAUUGCGUUGAACAACGACAAGGACCGUUUUCUUCCAGUGCCAAGGAAUAAAUGCUUGGCGUUCUUCCUCUGUUUACUUAAAAGAAUAGGUCGGAUCUGUUUGAGAAGUUGCAGAAGAAAAAAGCAUUUUCCAUGAUGUAUAAAGAGAGAAGAGCAGCAACUACUAGCUUAAUCUCCAUGUAUUGUCAAACGGACUGUAAAAAGGACGUUUGCUUGGUUCCGUAAGCAGAUGUUAGUCUCAGGUUCCGCCCUGCAGGGAUUGAUAUAGUAACCGGUUGGGGUAGACAUUUUAGAGUUACUGCUACAUCAAUUGUGAGACAAACCGUUGAAGAGCUGCUCUACAUCCUUGGCUCAGCGUUUUUCAUGGAGAUUGAAAACUCAGAUUGUUUAGUUGUAUGUGUAUUACCUACUACCCAGUGUUGUACCUGAAGCUCUUUAUUAGUCUUCACAAGCCAUUUUAGAUGA